rnacentral:rRNA from 1 species
GACGAACGCUGGCGGCGUGCUUAACACAUGCAAGUCGAACGGAAAGGCCCUGCUUUUGUGGGGUGCUCGAGUGGCGAACGGAUGAGUAACAAGUGAGUAACCUGCCCUUGACUUUGGGAUAACUUCAGGAAACUGGGGCUAAUACCGGAUAGGAGCUCCUGCUGAAUGGUGGGGGUUGGAAAGUUUCGGCGGUUGGGGAUGGACUCGCGGCUUAUCAGCUUGUUGGUGGGGUAGUGGCUUACCAAGGCUUUGACGGGUAGCCGGCCUGAGAGGGUGACCGGCCACAUUGGGACUGAGAUACGGCCCAGACUCCUACGGGAGGCAGCAGUGGGGAAUAUUGCACAAUGGGCGGAAGCCUGAUGCAGCAACGCCGCGUGCGGGAUGACGGCCUUCGGGUUGUAAACCGCUUUCGCCUGUGACGAAGCGUGAGUGACGGUAAUGUGUAAAGAAGCACCGGCUAACUACGUG